AGCUGGAUCCCUUACAGAAGCAGCUUGUUUGUCUUAUUCAGAUGAAGGCACGGUGCCAGGCUGAGGUGAUCUCGUUAUCCACCAGCCUUGAUUGGAAGGGGAUGACUCCGUUGCGGGGCGUGUUUGAAGUGCACUUCGCGAUGAAAGUCAGUCGUCCUGUAAGGAGACACUUUCAAUCAGGCUAAAGACUGUGUCUCCGUGCUGUGAGAGGCAGGAGUUGAAAACAAAUAAGGAGCCAUCGGUAAAUGGCCAUGCUCUCCAUCAGUUUGAACCCAGGCACCCGCUCCUAUUUACAACUGGAGUUGGCGUUGGGGACCUUGGAGCCGCUUGCGAUGUUGGAGCCGAUGUUGCUGAUGAGGUCCCAAGAACUCCCUGAGAGAAGUGCUAUCCCUGUGUCAAGAUCAAGGAGCCCAAAUAGAGAAGCUUGGAAGGAUUAUGAGCCGGAGGCCAGAAGAAGCCAGCCACAUUGCUCUGCCAUGUUAGAGCUAGCUAUGUCCAACAGAUUCUCCCCUGGCAUGCUCCGAUAGAAACGUAAUCUGCGGAUGCUGAUUUGGCUUUGUGAGACUCCAGGCAGAGAAAUCAGUCUGGACUUCUUAGAGAACUGGGAGGUAACACGCACGUGUUUCCGAAGCCGCUAACUUCAAGCUGUUGCGUGCAGUUGCUCUGAAGUCAUUGGGCAUGUGCUUCCAGUACCUCAUUCUCUCCUGCAAUUGAUGAGAGUCAGGAAACAAUGAUGGACAGCAUUUUAAACAGAUUUAAGAAUGUAUUUGUUUUUAUUUACAUGUAUGUGAGAGGGAGGUGGGGACACUUGAGUAUCGGUGCCAUAGGAUGUCAGAGGGUAUCAGAUCUUCCAGAGCUGGCAUUAAAGGGCAGUUGUGAAACACUCAUCAUAGGUGCUAGGAUCUGAAUACAAGAGCAGAAGGUAUUUUUAAACUAUGAUCCAGCUCUCCAGUCCAACAUGUACGUGAACACUUUUAAUUUAUUUAAAUAUUUUUCAUUUUGCACACCAACCCCACUUCCCCCUACCUUCCUGGUCCUCUCUUCCAUUCCAUUCCCCAUUCACUCCUCAGAGUGGGUAAGGCCUCCCUUGGGGAGUCAACAAAGUCUGGGACACCAAAUUUAGGCAGGACCAAGCCCCUCCUCCCUGCAUCAAGGCUGAGCAAGGUAUUCCUCCAUAGAGAAUGGUCUCCAAAAAGCCACGAGUAAACACUUUCAUUGGAUGUUUUUGGACGGACUACAAGAGGGAAUGAAGGUUUGACACAUACCUUGAAAUUUGUAACCCUGUGUGGCAAUGAUAAUAUCUUACCUAUAGUUAUAUCUAUCUAGGCAUCUAUCUAUCUAUCUAUCUCUAUCACCCCUUUCAUUAGCAACAUAAAUCCCAUAUAUAAUCUGUUUAGCUACCUAUGCAUUUAUUUGUAGUGCUGAGCAUCAAACCCAGGGCUUUGCAUAUGCUAGGCAACUAUUGCACUAAUGGAGCUGAACCUCAGUUCAUGUUUCCUAUGUAAAAAUGACUUCUGUACCCUCUUUGGUCCUUAGGAUAAAACAGAACAGUAAUCACGCGAACCAGGACAUUCUUGUGUGGUCACAAUUCCCCCUUUCCUUCUGUUCAGCGUCUCUGCUGCCUGUGAAUUCUCUUGGGCCUUUGUCUGAAGAAUCUGUGAGUGUCAGGAGGCAAAGGACUUUCUCAGCUUGAAAUCUGAAUGAAGAGCUUGGGAUUUCCAGUUCUAUCCAGAAUGUGCCAGAAAGAUUAGGAGAUUGUAGAAAGGCUUCCUAGAAAAAAAUAAAAGAUUUGAGAAAUGAGACCCAUAGCAAGCCCUGGAAGAGUGAUAGACAGAAGUUAUGUAUUAUCAACUUGGUAGAGAAAUGCAUCCCUGAGGUGCUCUAAGACAAUUGGCUCAGGAGGGCUCUGAGGCAUAUUAAAGGAAAUGCACAAAUUCCUGAAUAAAGAAUAACAGAUAUUUAUUUGGGGAGCACUCACACAAUGAUGGUAAAUAACCACCUCAGUCUUCUGCUCCUAGAGGUGCAGAGUCUGUGAUGCAGGAUGCUCAGACCACAACCCAAGAGAGCCCAAGUGAGUCCCCCCUUUUCCUUAUAAAGGGGCACGCAGAAGCCACACCCUAAGGCCAUUACCUCAAGUCUAUUGGCGGAACAAGAUGCCAUUAAGAGCUCUGACCUAAUCAAGGGAUUAAUCCAUGGAUGGAUUCAUAAUCUGAUAGCACUAUCAGGAGGGGUAAGAGGAGGAAGGUGAGGAGUAGAUAUUUGGAGUAUGCCUUUGGGGGCUGUAUCCCACCCGGCUCUCACCCAUUAGGACUCUGCUUUCUUUCAACAUUGAUGUGAGUCAGCCCCCCCCUCUCUGCUUCCUGCCUGCGCCUGCCAUAGCUGGCCUCUCUGCCUCACAUCCCUGCCUUCACAAUGUUCUGUGUAACUACACAGGUGACACAGCUGGCCUCUCCACCACGUGUCCCUGCUGUCACGAUGUUCUGUGUAAGCACAUGUUAUGGGAACAAACAAAUUACAAACCGAAACCUGAGUCCAGACCAAUCCUACCUUUAAGUUAUUUCUCAGUCAUACGGUCACAAAGAUGAAGAGGAGCUAAUACAGUAGCCAUUUGGCCAGAGAACCCUGGAGUGUGACUGAAAGAAAAACAACCACCACAACAACCACACAGGAGUUCCACAUGUUUCAGGAGGCUGUGCUCUGUUUUGGAGAGAGAGGUAAAGACAGGUCUCAUUUGAAGUCUUAUGCACUGCAACCCUCUGUUUCCCUUUGAUAGAGACAAGUGUCCCCCCUUCCUGAUGAUCUACAUUUGGUUUGUUAGGGAAUCAGUGAAUAUUUGCUGAAAAACAAAUUUGGCUGGAAGGCAACCUCCUUCUCGAAACUUCCUUAUUCUCAAUCACGUGUCUAAUUAAGUAAAUAAUCCUGAUGUCACCCCCACCCCCAACUAACCACCCAGGCAGCAUGACAGCUCACAUUGCAGACAUAGUCUUAGAAAACCAUGUAAAGUUGUCAGCAAGCUGAACUCAAUAAUUAAACACAGAAAACAUAGGCAUUUCAAAAGAAAAUGCGUGAGAAUUAUCUCAUUGUUAAUUUUCUGUUAGUGGUGUGAAGUGGACCUUUCCAGGUCACCAUCAAAGAGACACAGGCUGUGGGCUUAUUCUGUUGACAGCUUAAUUGUGCCAGAAGACAGCUUUCGAUAGGUCUACAAAGGUGUGUGAGUCUGGCUAGCUAUCACUUCCAGUUUUUAAUUAACACUUCUUGCAGUUUAAGUGAAAACACAAUAGCAGGAAAUUCUGAAAAAUGGAAGAUAAUAACUGGAAAUGCUGAGAAGUAUGCAGGACAGAACUUGGGGAAAGGAGCAGGGGGAAAAAGUCAAGGCAUUUUGAUUCAUCUUUCACUGUAUCUACCAUUCAAUGGCUAUAAUUUGACCACCCAUACUAUGAAGUAUCCACAAGGGGCUGUUACAGAAGAUGGUGGUGGAAACAGUGAUGUCAUCCGCCCACUUUAUAAUUUAAGAUUGUUCCCAAAAGUGUGUUAUUCAAAGUCCGGUCCAGGAAAAUUUCCUGUGACUCAGUCUGAGCAAUUAUUAUGACAUUCCCUGGGAAGCUCUUUGAACAAUAAUACCCUUUGCUACUAAGAAUGCUGCUUUGAGGUCAGCCAGAAUUUCUCAUUGUCCAUCUUGAAUACAAGAGUUUGGCUCUACUUUUCUUGACCACCACCAAACAAGUGCUGUCAUUCAAUCGAUAUGGAAAACAUUUUGAAUUUAGCUAGAGUCUGAUGUUUGAGUCCCAAAGAAAUAUUGGUGGAAAAAAAAGAUCUACAUGAUUGGAUAGAUGAAUAGAUGAUGUUCAUCCUUAACUCUGUUUCUAACCUCUCAGUUUGCUUGAUGAAGGUCUUUAAUAGAGCAGGGGGGGUGUAGGAGUGUAGGAUGUAAGAAUGGACACCUCCAUGUUGGCUCACCAUUCUUUAGCACUGAGUGCAGGAAGAUCGUUUUGAGUCACCAGGAAAGUAUUCGCUUGCUGGGGUUGUUGUCAGCAAGUACCAUGAACUAGCUGGCUACAGUAACAGCAGUUAUUAUUUCAUAGUCAUGGAUGGCAGAAGCCUAAGCAUGUAGACCAGUGUGUCAGGCAGGUGACUGCGUUCUGAAGGCCGUGAGAGUCCUUUGCCAGUCUCUUCAUUGGCUUCCAGUGGUUAGCUGGCUGUCUUGGGGAAUUCUUGGGCUGACAGAUAUAUCAAUCCUAUCUUAGGGUUACUAUCACUGUAAAGAAACAGCAUGACCAAAAGAACUUGGGGAAAAAGGGUUUGUUUGGCUUACACUUCAACAUUAUCUAUUAUUCAAGGAAGUCAGGGAAGGGACCUGGAAUCAGGAGAUGAUGCAGAUGCCACGGAGGGGUGCUGCUUACUGGAUUGCUCUUCAAGGCUUGUUCAGCCUGCUUUCUUAUAGGCUCCAGGACCAUCAGUCCGGGGAUGAUGCUACCCUCUCCCAUCAAUCACUAAUUUAAAAAAUGCCUUUCUAUUUAGACCUAAGCCUCAAUUUAUCCUGAAGAUGACUUGGGGGAGGAGACAUUACUAACUUCCCUCUCCUCUUCCCAGUUGUGGCCAUAUAGAGAUAAACCUCUCUCUGCUUUUGCUAUUAUUUUUCCCUUUAAUUGGCCUAUUGAGAACAGGUUGCCAAGCCUUAGCCUAGGGCUUCCAAGACUCAGGCUCUGAUCCUAACAACACCGGUGACAACCUUGGCUACUUCAUGUUCUAGGAGCAAAAUCAAGGUCAGAGGAAGUGAUAACAACAUAUCUAUGCUGCUUUCCGUUUCUCCACUAUACUAUACUAAACUCUAGUUGGACUCAGUGAUGCAGCUGCAACAAAAUGCUCAGACAUAGGUACAAAGGCACGGCCACACCUGGGGCAGUCCAGGGAUGGAAUUCAAUGAGUAGGACAUGUCUUCAGCUACCAGCCAUCAUGGUUGUUUCAUUUCUCCUUUCUGUCUGGAAGAGCUACUCGCAUGAUUUUUUACUUAUGUGCAGCAAGAGCUGUGCUAUCUAUUUCAGAAAGACAAAUGUAUGCUAAUAUUACAGAAGGUUAUUGUGGAAAACACCUUGAGAAACCACAGCUUCUUCCAGAUUAAUAUCACAGCUGAGAGAAGGAUCUGUUGGUCCUUCGUGAAAUAAGAGAAAUAUAUGUGCAGCCCUGACUAUCCUGGAAUAGGCUGGCCUUGAACUCAGAGAUCCACUUGCCUUUGCCUGCCGAGUGCUGGGAUUAAAGCCACCACGGCCUUGCCCAAGUGGUAAUUUUAAGACAUUGUUUUGACUACACAGUAAGUGUGGAAAAUGUUACCAUUCCUCCCAUAAUUGGUAUCUUGAACUCUUGAGAUCGUUCUAUUUCUGCUUUAUUAAAACAAUAGGGUUGGAGAGAUGGCUCAGAUAUUAGGAGCACUGACUCCUCUU